UUAGAACUUAAAUAAGAAAUGAUGCAUUAACCAAGCUGACACCCCUAAUCUUAGCGUGUUAUGAAAUGGACGCGUCGAUUCAAUUACACAUGGCUGGUUCACGACUUCUGAGACUUGCGUUUAUGAUUCGAAGAGUGAAAACGGAUACCAGUCAACUACAUACACACGCGUUUGUUUAUUCCUUUGUGUGUUGGAAAUUAUUGUUGGUCCUUCUGUCACUGUCCGUAAUUUAGCGAUUUGCCAAGCAAGCAGCAGAUGGAGUAGAGCAGACCUCUUUUCUCGACUGCAGUGGCUUGGCAUUGGAUGCCCUAAUAAGAAGAUUGACUUGACUUUUUAAUGCGAUUCCGUGUAUCACACAACUUACAAGACAAUAUGUUUCAUUAUAUAUCUAUGAUCAUAUUUAGGAUACAUGUUAAUGACCAUUGUAAGAUUGUGUGUAACAUACAAGACUUGGGCCACUUGCAUCAAGGUCAAGUUCAGAUAUAGAAUUCAGCUGCAUACAGUCUACCACAUAGCUAAUAAACCCUAUGAAAGGAGCUGUCGGUAUUUCCAUGGUGCAGCUAUCACCAGUUUCAAAAUGGAAACAGAUGGUGAGUCUCAAGCGAAAAAGAAAAGUGGACCUCUCCUAACAACUUAAAAGGAGAACAUUAUCUUGCAUAGCAUUUUUCUCCGAAGGGAUUGAUUCAAACAAGCACAUUGUGACAAGUAUCCCACUGAAGGCAAGUUCUACAACAAGGAGACGGACUCCACUGGUGGUCAAUAUAUCGACGUUCAAAAAGGGCUUAAAUUUGUUUACCGAUCAAAACUAUGCCAUAAGACAUGAAUCACCCUCCAAUUAAAACAAAACAUAUGGAGAAGUCAGUCACUUUCAAAUCAAGUAACAAUUUAAGAUAUGAGACGAUUCUAAUGACGACAAUGAAUAUGGAGAAGUAUAAUGUACUUGAAAAUGUUUAAUGGAAAUAGAGGAAUGUGAAACUUCUUUGUAUUUAUUUGGUUCUCAUGAAGGCUUUGUCAUUGAUAAGGCUGGCAGAUAAGUUGAUUUAUUUCUUUGUUUUCAACAAAAAGAAAAGUUGAAAAGUCUAAAUUUAAGCAUUUUAGGAGUACUAAAAGAUGUUAUAGAAAUAUUUGAGAUAGAAUGUAAAAACUGGCCCUUCUUAGGGUCUGCUAAUUUAGGGCUAAAAUAAAAUAAAAACAUAUAA
rnacentral:lncRNA from 1 species